rnacentral:lncRNA from 1 species
CAAAUUAAAAAUGGCUCGCGCACAAAAUUUAAAAGCUGCAAUCAUAUUUUGAGUUAACGGAUGGAAAAUUUGUCGGGAUUUUAAUUACUGUGCACAAUUUCAGACAAUUUGGUUUAGUUUAAGCCCUUAACUAUUCACGCAAAGUUACAAUUUUCCCGAAAAAUCAGCUAUUUGCAUGCUUAAUUAAUGCAUUUGCCUAAUUUGCAUAUGUCAGGAAUAUGCAAAUUAGGUAAAGGCAUUAAUUAAGCAUGCGAAAGGCUGACUUUUUAGAACAAAAUGAAU